UACGUAGGGUGCGAGCGUUGUCCGGAAUUAUUGGCGUAAAGCGCGCGCAGGCGGUCCUUUAAGCCUGAUGUGAAAGCCCACGGCUCAACCGUGGAGGGUCAUUGGAAACUGGGGGACUUGAGUGCAGAAGAGGAAAGCGGAAUUCCACGUGUAGCGGUGAAAUGCGUAGAGAUGUGGAGGAACACCAGUGGCGAAGGCGGCUUCUGGUCUGUAACGUGACGCUGAGGCGCGAAAGCGUGGGGAGC
rnacentral:rRNA from 1 species